rnacentral:tRNA from 1 species
AUACCUGGCUCUCACCCAGGAGACCCGGGUUCAAUUCCCGGUAUGGGAA